rnacentral:misc_RNA from 1 species
UUGUGGAGGAGGACGCCGAAGGUGGGGCUAAUGACUGGGGUGAAGUCGUAACAAGGUAGCCGUACCGGAAGGUGCGGCUGGAUCACCUCCUAACAGGGAGACAACAAAAUGUUUAAUAUUAUUAUUUUGUCACCUUAGGUCGAUCGGUAUCUCACGUUCUUAAUUUGUUAAGAAUUUCAUUUCCUAAGUUUUUCUAGGUCACACCCAUUAUUUUUCCUGGGCCAUUAGCUCAGGUGGUUAGAGCGCACCCCUGAUAAGGGUGAGGUCCCUGGUUCAAGUCCAGGAUGGCCCAUAUCUCUAUGUUGGGGGUAUAGCUCAGUUGGUAGAGCGCCUGCUUUGCAAGCAGGAUGUCAGCGGUUCGAGUCCGCUUACCUCCACUGAUUACCACCUCUUCCAUAACAGGUAGAAAGGAAAUGUUUUGAGUUGUGAUCAUUAUUCUGAACGAAUCUAGCUUCCUAAUGAAACCAUUAAGAUGCUGGACUCAUUGAAUUAAUUUCAUUGUUUUCAGAGAACCUUGACAACUGCAUAGAUUAUUUUUAAAGACAACAAGCAUCUUUAAUGAUGCAGAUUUAUUAUUUGUGCUAAUGCAUUAAUAACAAUUCUAUUAAGCUGAUGCUUCAAUUUUGAAGUUAUUGGUCAAGCUACAA